rnacentral:rRNA from 1 species
GACGAACGCUGGCGGCGUGCUUAACACAUGCAAGUGGAGCGACGAACCAGGGCUUGCCCUGGGGCAGAGCCGCGAACGGGUGAGUAACACGUGGGUAACGUGCCCCGAUGACUGGGACAACCCGGGGAAACCCGGGCUAAUACCGGAUGUGCCCCCUCACACCAGUGAGGUGUGUAAAGGAAGCUUCGGCCUCCGCAUCGGGAUCGGCCCGCGGCCCAUUAGCUUGUUGGUGAGGUAACGGCUCACCUAGGCUGCGAUGGGUAGCCGGACUGAGAGGACGGUCGGCCGCACGGGGAGUGGACCACGGCCAAGGGUCCUGCGGGAGGCAGCAGUGGGGAAUGUUGCGCAGUGGGGGGAAACGUGACGCAGCGGCGCCGCGUGGGGGGAGGCGGCCUUCGGGUUGUAAACCCCUUUCAGUUGGGGCGAAGGGCGGGCGGUUAAGAGCCGUUCCGGGUGACGGUACCGUCACAAGAAGCCCCGGCUAACUACGUG